rnacentral:misc_RNA from 1 species
GAUGAAGAACGUAGCGAAAUGCGAUACUUGGUGUGAAUUGCAGAAUCCCGUGAACCAUCGAGUCUUUGAACGCAAGUUGCGCCCGAAGCCAUCAGGUUGAGGGCACGUCUGCCUGGGCGUCACAUAUCGUUGCCCAAUGCCUAUUGCAGUGCAAUAGGAAUUUCUAGGGCGAAUGAUGGCUUCCCGUGAGCGUUGUUGCCUCGCGGUUGGUUGAAAAUCGAGUCCUUGGUAGGGUGUGCCAUGGUAGAUGGUGGUCGAGUUAGAACGAUACCGAUCAUGUGCAUGCUCCCCAAAAUAUGGCCUCUAUGACCCACACGCGUCUUUUGACACUCAUGACGAGACCUCAGGUCAGGCGGGGCUACCCGCUGAAUUUAAGCAUAUCAAUAAGCGGAGGA